GAUGAACGCUGACAGAAUGCUUAACACAUGCAAGUCAACUGUGGCGGACGGUUGAGUAACGCGUACAGAACUUGCCUCACUGUUAGGGACAACAUUUGGAAACGAAUGCUAAUACCUGAUACUGUGAGAGAGCUUUGCGUCCCAUUAGCUAGUUGGAGAGGUAACGGCUCACCAUGGCGAUGCUGGGUAGCCGGCCUGAGAGGGUGAUGGGCCAUAAGGGGACUGAGACACGGCCCUUACGCAUACGGGAGGAAGGAGGGAGGAAUAGUGGACAAUGGACCAAAGGCUGAGCAAGCAAUUCUGUGGGAACGAUGAAGUUUUCGGAAUGUAAAGUGCUUGCAGUUAGGAAGCGGUACCAACAGAGGAAGUGACGGCUAAAUACGUGCCAGCAGCCGCGGUAAUAC
rnacentral:rRNA from 1 species